rnacentral:rRNA from 1 species
AGUGAACGCUGGCGGUAGGCCUAACACAUGCAAGUCGAACGGCAGCACAGGAGAGCUUGCUCUCUGGGUGGCGAGUGGCGGACGGGUGAGGAAUACAUCGGAAUCUACUCUGUCGUGGGGGAUAACGUAGGGAAACUUACGCUAAUACCGCAUACGACCUACGGGUGAAAGCAGGGGAUCUUCGGACCUUGCGCGAUUGAAUGAGCCGAUGUCGGAUUAGCUAGUUGGCGGGGUAAAGGCCCACCAAGGCGACGAUCCGUAGCUGGUCUGAGGGGAUGAUCAGCCACACUGGAACUGAGACACGGUCCAUACUCCUACGGGAGGCAGCAGUGGGGAAUGUUGGACAGUGGGCGCAAGCCUGAUCCAGCCAUACCGCGUGGGUGAAGAAGGCCUUCGGGUUGUAAAGCCCUUUUGUUGGGAAAGAAAUCCAGCUGGCUAAUACCCGGUUGGGAUGACGGUACCCAAAGAAUAAGCACCGGCUAACUUCGUGCCAGCAGCCGCCGUAACAC